AUAUAUGUGCAAACCAAAGGGUACCCACCUUUACCAAGUAGAUAUAAGUGAACCACCUAGAAUGACUAUAUUAAUGAAAAUCAAGGUGGACGCUACACAGCUAGGUGACACAAAUAGAAUUUCCAAGUCACUAAAAUGAGGUGCAUAUACAAAACCAAAAGAAUAUGCAUAUACCUAAGAAACACUACAACUUUGAAGCAUUAUCAAGAAGCACAAAACUGUUCAAGCCAAGGUUUUCAAAACUGAUACUGGAAACUAUUACGGUCGGCUGACGGUACAAAUUGGUACGGCCCCAUACCAGAUCGGAUCGACGUGAAUAGACAAAGGGAGGAAGGGAUGAAUCGGGGAUGAGGAAAAGAGAGAAACAGAGGAAAAGAGAGGAAGAGAAAGAGAGAGGGGAG
rnacentral:lncRNA from 1 species